rnacentral:rRNA from 1 species
CUGUGACUCCUACGGGAGGCAGCAGUGGGGAAUAUUGCACAAUGGGCGCAAGCCUGAUGCAGCAACGCCGUGUGAGUGAAGAAGGUUUUCGGAUCGUAAAACUCUGUCCUAAGGGAAGAAACAAAUGACGGUACCUUAGGAGGAAGCCCCGGCUAACUACGUGCCAGCAGCCGCGGUAAUACGUAGGGGGCAAGCGUUAUCCGGAAUCACUGGGCGUAAAGGGUGCGUAGGCGGCUUAGCAAGCCAGGGGUGAAAGGCAUUGGCUCAACCAAUGUAAGCCUUUGGAACUGUUAAGCUUGAGUGCAGGAGAGGGUAAGUGGAAUUCCUAGUGUAGAGGUGAAAUUCGUAGAUAUUAGGAGGAACACCAGUGGCGAAGGCGACUUACUGGACUGUAACUGACGCUGAUGCACGAAAGCGUGGGUAGCGAACAGGAUUAGAUACCCUGGUAG